UACAGAGACUGCAAGCGUUAUUCGGAAUUACUGGGCUUAAAGGGUACGUAGGCGGCGCUGUUAGUCGGGUGUGAAAGCCCACGGCUCAACCGUGGAAUUGCGCCCGAUACUGCAGUGCUUGAGGGAGACAGAGGUAAGCGGAACUGAUGGUGGAGCGGUGAAAUGCGUUGAUAUCAUCAGGAACACCGGUGGCGAAAGCGGCUUACUGGGUCUCUUCUGACGCUGAGGUACGAAAGCUAGGGUAGCGAAGGGG
rnacentral:rRNA from 1 species